rnacentral:lncRNA from 1 species
UGAACUUCCAUGUAAGCUCCAUCUUAGCGUGAUCUCCAAUAGAGUCUUCCAUGUGAAUUUGCUUUAUAUCUUAGCCAUGGGACCUCAUGUAACUUGGUGUAAGUUGCCUCCCUUUUCUCGUAUCACAUGGAUAUCUCUACGUCUUCAAAGAAUAAUGUGUAUAGAUUGAAAAAAAUAUUGUGUGAUUUAGGGCAAUCAGUAAGGCUUUCGUAACACCUUACUCACCGCCGCGCUAAAUUUAUAAUUAGGAACCCCUAUUUAUUCGGGUCUUAAGGUCACCUAAACUCAUUUAAAUUUAUUUUACAGCUUAUUAUAUCGUAAUCCGUUAUUUAAAUUCGUAAUUUCAAUUUUAU